rnacentral:misc_RNA from 1 species
GAUGAAGAACGUAGCGAACUGCGAUAAGUAAUGCGAAUUGCAGAAUUCAGUGAAUCAUCGAGUCUUUGAACGCACAUUGCGCCCCCUGGCAUUCCGGGGGGCAUGCCUGUCCGAGCGUCAUUACUGCCCAUCAAGCGCGGCUUGUGUGUUGGGUCCUCGUCUCUUCCGGGAGACGGGCCCGAAAGGCAGCGGCGGUACCGUCCGGUCCUCGAGCGUAUGGGGCUUUGUCACCCGCUCGAAUAGGGCCCGGCCGGCGCCAGCCGUCAACCAAUUUUUUCUUCAGGUUGACCUCGGAUCAGGUAGGGAUACCCGCUGAACUUAAGCAUAUCAAUAAGCGGAGGA